UUCUCUUUCCUCCUGAAAUUCCUGGCCCUGGAGCUGCUUUCCUGCUGUUCCAGGAUGGAGGUGCUUUGGUGCCUCGGCUCUGUGGCUGAUUCCUGGGUUUAUUUGGCUGCUGGCACAGAGGGAAUAUGGGUGAACUUUGGGGAUUCUGCUGCCGCUUGUUGGGGUGUAAAUCGUAAAGUUGUGGAUUCGUGGAAUGGUUUGGGUUGGAAGGAGCUUAAAGCUGACCCCCAGCCAGGGCAGGGACAUCUCCCACUGUCCCAGGGUGCUCCAGCCUGGCCUUGGACACUGCCAAGGAUCCAGCAGCUCCGUGUUCCCCCAAGGAACAGAGAAUUCCCAGCACAAAUAAGGGAAGGAAGAAAGAGAACAGCUUGUGCUGCCCCCAGCACCUCUCCAGGCUCUGAGGAUGGUUUUCCUCCUUCCCAAGGCCCAUGCAGCAAUAAAUUGCCCUGCAGUAUCAUGGGAAUGGUUAACCUUGAUUUGAGUUCAUGCACCACCUCCUUCCCUGCAAGGUCGAAUUCCAAAUAAUCCUUUGGAGAGGAAUGAAAUAAAGUCGGGGCUGCUCCCUGGGCUACAAAGACUUUGCCUCCUCCUAGAGAGCACCAAAUUCACCCGAUUUGGGACGUUUUCAUGAUGGGAAAAAGAAAUCACGUAAAAUAUGAGGGAACAGAAGCGUUUUUGGGGAGCAGGGAUGUGAGGGGAGUUCGUUCCUCCCCUCACGUAAGGAGUGGGAUCUGCAGGGAGGGAUGGGGAUGCUGUGGAUCUGUUUUCUCAGAAGAAAGGAAGGGCAGGAAGUUAUCCUAAACCCUUCCUGGAGGUUUUUUUUCCCCCCCAGUGAGGCACACAGGAGGGGACAGAGGGCUCCUGAGAUACCCUAAAUAAGCCCCGUUUCAGGCAGCUCCCCUGGAUCAGCAGCACAGGAGCUGAGCACAGCCCCUCUGUGCUUUGGGGACAAUUUGGGCCUGCUUUGGGGACCCUGCAGGGAAAUCAGCCCCUUUGCCCAUGGAAUCUCCAGGUCUGAUCGCACCUUCCCCUGCUUCACCAGGGGGUGAUUGCACGAGGCUCCCGGUGCUGUUAUGAGGGUCCCCGUCCUUUCAUGAGGGCUGGCCGCGAGCUUUGGGGGGCUCACCCGUUCUCAUGAGGGCUGUGAGCCUGCACAGG